rnacentral:rRNA from 1 species
AGAGUUUGAUCCUGGCUCAGGACGAACGCUGGCGGCGCGCCUAACACAUGCAAGUCGAACGAGAGAGAAGGAGCUUGCUUCUUCGAUCGAGUGGCGAACGGGUGAGUAACGCGUGAGGAACCUGCCUCAAAGAGGGGGACAACAGUUGGAAACGACUGCUAAUACCGCAUAAGCCCACGGGUCGGCAUCGACCUGAGGGAAAAGGAGCAAUCCGCUUUGAGAUGGCCUCGCGUCCGAUUAGCUAGUUGGUGAGGUAACGGCCCACCAAGGCGACGAUCGGUAGCCGGACUGAGAGGUUGAACGGCCACAUUGGGACUGAGACACGGCCCAGACUCCUACGGGAGGCAGCAGUGGGGAAUAUUGCACAAUGGGGGAAACCCUGAUGCAGCGACGCCGCGUGGAGGAAGAAGGUCUUCGGAUUGUAAACUCCUGUUGUUGAGGAAGAUAAUGACGGUACUCAACAAGGAAGUGACGGCUAACUACGUGCCAGCAGCCGCGGUAAAACGUAGGUCACAAGCGUUGUCCGGAAUUACUGGGUGUAAAGGGAGCGCAGGCGGGAAGACAAGUUGGAAGUGAAAUCUAUGGGCUCAACCCAUAAACUGCUUUCAAAACUGUUUUUCUUGAGUAGUGCAGAGGUAGGCGGAAUUCCCGGUGUAGCGGUGGAAUGCGUAGAUAUCGGGAGGAACACCAGUGGCGAAGGCGGCCUACUGGGCACCAACUGACGCUGAGGCUCGAAAGUGUGGGUAGCAAACAGGAUUAGAUACCCUGGUAGUCCACACCGUAAACGAUGAUUACUAGGUGUUGGAGGAUUGACCCCUUCAGUGCCGCAGUUAACACAAUAAGUAAUCCACCUGGGGAGUACGACCGCAAGGUUG